rnacentral:rRNA from 1 species
UACAUGGGGUGCAAACGUUGCUCGGAAUUACUGGGCGUAAAGCGUGUGUAGGUGGCCGCGCAAGUCGGAUGUGAAAGCCCUGGGCUCAACUCAGGAAGUGCACCCGAUACUGCGUGGCUCGAGUACCGGAGAGGUUGGUGGAAUUUUCGGUGUAGCGGUGAAAUGCGUAGAUAUCGGAAGGAACACCAGUGGCGAAAGCGGCUUCCUGGUCCAGCACCGACGUUCAGGCACGAAAGCGUGGGGAGCAAACAGG